GACGAACGCUGGCGGCGUGCCUAAUACAUGCAAGUCGAACGCAGUGGGGACGGGGGAGUAACACGUGGGUAACCUCCCAUCAGAGGGGAUAACACUUGGAAACAGGUGCUAAACCCAUAUUGAUGUAUGGACCCGCGGUGCAUUAGCCAGUUGGGGGGGUAACGGCUCACCGAGGCCACGAUGCAUAGCCGACUUGAGAGGGGGGUCUGCCACACUGGGACUGAGACACGGCCCAGCCUCCUACGGGAGGCAUCAGUAGGGAAUCUUCGGCAAUGGACGAAAGUCUGACCGAGCAACGCCGCGUGAGUGAAGAAGGUUUUCGGAUCGUAAAACUCUGUUGUUAGAGAAGCGGUAUCUAACAAGAAAGCCACGGCUAACUACGUGCCAGCAGCCGCGGUAAUAC
rnacentral:rRNA from 1 species